rnacentral:rRNA from 1 species
AGUGAACGCUGGCGGCAGGCCUAAUACAUGCAAGUCGAACGGCAGCACAGUGGAGCUUGCUCCAUGGGUGGCGAGUGGCGGACGGGUGAGGAAUACAUGGGAAUCUGCCCAGUCGUGGGGGAUAACGUAUGGAAACGUACGCUAAUACCGCAUGCGCCCUUCGGGGGAAAGUCGGGGACCGCAAGGCCUGACGCGAUUGGAUGAGCCCAUGUUCGAUUAGCUAGUUGGCGGGGUAACGGCCCACCAAGGCGACGAUCGAUAGCUGGUCUGAGAGGAUGAUCAGCCACACUGGAACUGAGACACGGUCCAGACUCCUACGGGAGGCAGCAGUAGGGAAUCUUGCGCAAUGGACGGAAGUCUGACGCAGCAACGCCACGUGUGGGACGACGCCUUUCGGGGUGUAAACCACUGUUAGCAGGGACUAGCCUACGACGUAGGUCGUACCGAAUGUACCUGCAGAGAAAGCACCGGCAAACUUCGUGCC